rnacentral:rRNA from 1 species
UACGAAGGGUGCAAGCGUUAAUCGGAAUUACUGGGCGUAAAGGGUGCGUAGGCGGUUUGGUCAGUCGGAUGUGAAAGCCCUGGGCUCAACCUGGGAACUGCAUCUGAUACUGCCGAGCUUAGAGUCUAGGAGAGGGUGGUGGAAUUCCCGGUGUAGCGGUGAAAUGCGUAGAGAUCGGGAGGAACAUUCGUGGCGAAGGCGGCCACCUGGCCUAAGACUGACGCUGAGGCACGAAAGCGUGGGGAGCAAACAGG